CGUAGGGUGCGAGCGUUAAUCGGAAUUACUGGGCGCAAAGCGUGCGCAGGCGGUUCGUUAAGUCAGAUGUGAAAGCCCCGGGCUCAACCUGGGAACUGCAUUUGAAACUGGCGGGCUUGAGUGUGGCAGAGGGGGUGGAAUUCCGCGUGUAGCAGUGAAAUGCGUAGAGAUGCGGAGGAACACCGAUGGCGAAGGCAGCCCCCUGGGCCAACACUGACGCUCAGGCACGAAAGCGUGGGGAGCAAACAGGAUUAGAUACCCUGGUAGUCCACGCCCUAAACGAUGCUCACUAGGUGUUGGGGAAGCGAUUCCUUGGUACCGUAGCUAACGCGUGAAGUGAGCCGCCUGGGGAGUACGGCCGCAAGGUUA
rnacentral:rRNA from 1 species